GUGAGGAAUUUUCCGCAAUGGGCGAAAGCCUGACGGAGCAAUGCCGCGUGAAGGAUGAAGGCCUUCGGGUUGUAAACUGCUUUUGUACGGAACGAAAAGACUUCUUCUAAUACAGGAGGUCCAUGACGGUACCGUAAGAAUAAGCACCGGCUAACUACGUGCCAGCAGCCGCGGUAAUACGUAGGGUGCAAGCGUUAAUCGGAAUUACUGGGCGUAAAGCGUGCGCAGGCGGUUAUAUAAGACAGAUGUGAAAUCCCCGGGCUCAACCUGGGAACUGCAUUUGUGACUGUAUAGCUAGAGUACGGUAGAGGGGGAUGGAAUUCCGCGUGUAGCAGUGAAAUGCGUAGAUAUGCGGAGGAACACCGAUGGCGAAGGCAAUCCCCUGGACCUGUACUGACGCUCAUGCACGAAAGCGUGGGGAGCAAACAGGAUUAGAUACCCGUGUAGUCC
rnacentral:rRNA from 1 species